rnacentral:rRNA from 1 species
CGGGACACGUGGUAUCCUGUCUGAAUAUGGGGGGACCAUCCUCCAAGGCUAAAUACUCCUGACUGACCGAUAGUGAACCAGUACCGUGAGGGAAAGGCGAAAAGAACCCCGGCGAGGGGAGUGAAAAAGAACCUGAAACCGUGUACGUACAAGCAGUGGGAGCACGCUUAGGCGUGUGACUGCGUACCUUUUGUAUAAUGGGUCAGCGACUUAUAUUCUGUAGCAAGGUUAACCGAAUAGGGGAGCCGAAGGGAAACCGAGUCUUAACUGGGCGUUAAGUUGCAGGGUAUAGACCCGAAACCCGGUGAUCUAGCCAUGGGCAGGUUGAAGGUUGGGUAACACUAACUGGAGGACCGAACCGACUAAUGUUGAAAAAUUAGCGGAUGACUUGUGGCUGGGGGUGAAAGGCCAAUCAAACCGGGAGAUAGCUGGUUCUCCCCGAAAGCUAUUUAGGUAGCGCCUCGUGAAUUCAUCUCCGGGGGUAGAGCACUGUUUCGGCAAGGGGGUCAUCCCGACUUACCAACCCGAUGCAAACUGCGAAUACCGGAGAAUGUUAUCACGGGAGACACACGGCGGGUGCUAACGUCCGUCGUGAAGAGGGAAACAACCCAGACCGCCAGCUAAGGUCCCAAAGUCAUGGUUAAGUGGGAAACGAUGUGGGAAGGCCCAGACAGCCAGGAUGUUGGCUUAGAAGCAGCCAUCAUUUAAAGAAAGCGUAAUAGCUCACUGGUCGAGUCGGCCUGCGCGGAAGAUGUAACGGGGCUAAACCAUGCACCGAAGCUGCGGCAGCGACGCUUAUGCGUUGUUGGGUAGGGGAGCGUUCUGUAAGCCUGUGAAGGUGUACUGUGAGGUAUGCUGGAGGUAUCAGAAGUGCGAAUGCUGACAUAAGUAACGAUAAAGCGGGUGAAAAGCCCGCUCGCCGGAAGACCAAGGGUUCCUGUCCAACGUUAAUCGGGGCAGGGUGAGUCGACCCCUAAGGCGAGGCCGAAAGGCGUAGUCGAUGGGAAACAGGUUAAUAUUCCUGUACUUGGUGUUACUGCGAAGGGGGGACGGAGAAGGCUAUGUUGGCCGGGCGACGGUUGUCCCGGUUUAAGCGUGUAGGCUGGUUUUCCAGGCAAAUCCGGAAAAUCAAGGCUGAGGCGUGAUGACGAGGCACUACGGUGCUGAAGCAACAAAUGCCCUGCUUCCAGGAAAAGCCUCUAAGCAUCAGGUAACAUCAAAUCGUACCCCAAACCGACACAGGUGGUCAGGUAGAGAAUACCAAGGCGCUUGAGAGAACUCGGGUGAAGGAACUAGGCAAAAUGGUGCCGUAACUUCGGGAGAAGGCACGCUGAUAUGUAGGUGAAGUCCCUCGCGGAUGGAGCUGAAAUCAGUCGAAGAUACCAGCUGGCUGCAACUGUUUAUUAAAAACACAGCACUGUGCAAACACGAAAGUGGACGUAUACGGUGUGACGCCUGCCCGGUGCCGGAAGGUUAAUUGAUGGGGUUAGCGCAAGCGAAGCUCUUGAUCGAAGCCCCGGUAAACGGCGGCCGUAACUAUAACGGUCCUAAGGUAGCGAAAUUCCUUGUCGGGUAAGUUCCGACCUGCACGAAUGGCGUAAUGAUGGCCAGGCUGUCUCCACCCGAGACUCAGUGAAAUUGAACUCGCUGUGAAGAUGCAGUGUACCCGCGGCAAGACGGAAAGACCCCGUGAACCUUUACUAUAGCUUGACACUGAACAUUGAGCCUUGAUGUGUAGGAUAGGUGGGAGGCUUUGAAGUGUGGACGCCAGUCUGCAUGGAGCCGACCUUGAAAUACCACCCUUUAAUGUUUGAUGUUCUAACGUGGACCCGUAAUCCGGGUUGCGGACAGUGUCUGGUGGGUAGUUUGACUGGGGCGGUCUCCUCCUAAAGAGUAACGGAGGAGCACGAAGGUUGGCUAAUCCUGGUCGGACAUCAGGAGGUUAGUGCAAUGGCAUAAGCCAGCUUGACUGCGAGCGUGACGGCGCGAGCAGGUGCGAAAGCAGGUCAUAGUGAUCCGGUGGUUCUGAAUGGAAGGGCCAUCGCUCAACGGAUAAAAGGUACUCCGGGGAUAACAGGCUGAUACCGCCCAAGAGUUCAUAUCGACGGCGGUGUUUGGCACCUCGAUGUCGGCUCAUCACAUCCUGGGGCUGAAGUAGGUCCCAAGGGUAUGGCUGUUCGCCAUUUAAAGUGGUACGCGAGCUGGGUUUAGAACGUCGUGAGACAGUUCGGUCCCUAUCUGCCGUGGGCGCUGGAGAAUUGAGGGGGGCUGCUCCUAGUACGAGAGGACCGGAGUGGACGCAUCACUGGUGUUCGGGUUGUCAUGCCAAUGGCACUGCCCGGUAGCUAAAUGCGGAAGAGAUAAGUGCUGAAAGCAUCUAAGCACGAAACUUGCCCCGAGAUGAGUUCUCCCUGACUCCUUGAGAGUCCUGAAGGAACGUUGAAGACGACGACGUUGAUAGGCCGGGUGUGUAAGCGCAGUGAUGCGUUGAGCUAACCGGUA